CCCACGAAGCCCCGGGUACCUUUGGCCAUGGCUCCCCGCUCUCUCCCGCCGCCACAACCCGCGCCGGUAACCAUAGAGCUCACUCAGCGAGCGCGGCAAGCACCAUGAGCCACGUGACCAAUGUGCCGCGAGCCUCCCGGCGAGCGCCCCUUAGGCGCUGUCGCGCUCUGGCGAGUCGAUGCUUCUGCCACGGGGUUCCCCCUUUCCCCCGCACCAUUGAGGGGUUCAAUUUCUCCAGACCACCUGAUGAUCCACUAUAUCAGCAGGAGUUUGGAAGUUUGGAAUGUUUCAUUACUGAAUGAGAGCCAAGACCAUGAUGUUCACCCAUCCCGACUGAACAGAAGAGACCGUAGAUCAGAGAAGAGGAAGUGCUCAGAAUGAUGGAUUACCGAAGCCAACCAUUCGCUGUACCUCAUGGAUUUCCUGGAGCAGUUCCUCAUUCUUCAGCUCUAACUGUAUGGAAAAGAAGAGGCUCAAACAGGGACACAUGAACAAGUCUUAAAGCACCUAAGAUAUAUCUUCCUAGAAUACUCUGGGCCAUGAAGGAGGAUUCAACCAAUUAAUCCCACUUAGAGACUGUAAAGGAAAUAGAAAUAGCCUCUUUGUCAUCGUACCAAAUAUUUUCCUACUGCUGAUAUCAGAAAUGAUAUCACGUGUCAGCAAGAUGAUAGCAGCUGACAGCAGAAGCCUCAGUCACCUUUAAUUAAGUAUCUUGUUUUCAAAUAUAAUUCACACCUGAAAAAGGGCUAGUACAUCUCACCAUAGGUAUAUUCAGAACCAUCUGCUGAGAUAAACAGAUGUCUUCCUCUUUAACUGACAUCAGACCAUGAGCUGACCUCUGCAUCCUGCUUUUUUCCCCCAUACUAGAAGGGAUGAGAAAAAUACAAACCUUCAAUGCGUAUUUGUAAGACUGCUCUGCCUCCAACUGCCUUCCUCCCUGAAAAACACCAGUAGUCAGUGAGAAGCUUGUUUGAGAGGACAAAAUCAGGUGUUUCAGCUUCUGUCAAGAGACACAUUUUAACAAGGCUGGAUGACAGGAAUACCUCAGCUGUGGAAUAUUCAGUAGGAGAAAGGGUAAUGAGAAACAAAGGGGAAGAUUGUUUCUUUUGGCAUUAAAAUGCUUCCACAUUUUGUUUUUCCAGAAAACAAACCCCAAACCUAUCUAUAUUUACCAAUGGAAUCUAUGAGGCACCUUGUAGACAUAUAGACAGAUGCUGAUGUAGAUAAAAGCAGAACAUGUUUCCUCACAUUUGAGGUUGAGAUAGGACACUCACUUGCAUGCAGACUAGCGCUAAAUAUGCCCACACUUCGGCCUUGUUGUUAUUCAGCGCAUUGGCCUCAGAGAGGGCAUCUUCUGCCUCCGCUAUUUCUUUCAGCUUUACAUAGAGAGAGAGAGAGAGAGAUGAGAGCAAAAACCGAACAGCAGGUGAAAUAUUGCCCAGAGUUUAACACGCACCUGGUAUACGACAGCUAAAGAAAUCAGUGUGACAAAAACCUUCAGAAAUGAUCCUCACUCUAGGCUUCUUUGAAUUAUAUAGUAAUGAUGAUACAGUGUAACAAAUUUAGAGCAGAGGGAGUGAGACAACUGCAAUGUCAGACUCUCCAGCUCUCCUGACUGGAGGGCAAGCCCCUCAUUACUGAUUUAGCCAGUCAGUAAUGGAGCCCAGUCCUCUUACAAAUUAUCCAUGGACUAUUCUCACCGAAGAAAGCAACGAUCACUCUUCCACCUCCAUGUGUCUAGAGUUUGUAAACUGCUGGGGAACGCUUACGAUGGUUGAGGAAGAAAGUAGAGUCACCCUGACCCCUCCCAUUCACUUUCUUCAGAUGAGGGAACCUUGCAAAGCAGCCCCUUGGGAGAUGCUACACUCUUUAUGGCUGCAGGAAUCUCAGGCCUGUGUCUCGGUCUUUAUUAAACUAUUCUGAAAAUCCUCACAUCUUUAAUAAAGAAAGGGAUAUUCUUGGUAGCCCUUCCCAUCUGCUGACUUCCCUACAUUCCUUCCAAGGGAGAAAGCAAGGUAUGUACCUGUUGGACAAUCAGAGGAGCUACUUCAUUCCUAUGGACCCCAAAUCAGAAUUUAACAUAUAUAUUAUACUAACACACUCUAUACAUUGGUUAAAGGAAAACACCUGUGUACUAAUUAUGUGUCAGGUGUUAACCUGAAACCAUGGGCGGAGACAUCAUGUAAUCUUUGACUAUUGGCUACUGUGCUUAUCUUGUCUUGCUGCUAGACCUAUCCAGGGGUUUGGGACUGCCUACCCCGUCAUUUCCCUCUGCCCAUGGAAAAGCCAUACAAUCCAUUGUAAUCAAUUGUUUGGCCGUGUUUCUGAGCCUAAUAAGCAAGGUGA